rnacentral:pre_miRNA from 1 species
UACUCAAGACAGUGGCAAUCAUGUCUAAUUAAAUGUGAUUGACACGUCUGUGAGUAGA